AUGUUGUCAUCUCUUCAGUUAGACUGGUGGU
rnacentral:piRNA from 1 species